ACUGUCCUCCGUGCUACUCUGCACAAACAAGCAGAAGGGCCGUUUAUGCAGAUUCCGCCGAACUUAACCUAUACACUGGAGAUUCACUUCAAAAAAUUAAAAAUAGGUUUUUAACUAGACCAGCGAUAGUUUGUUUUUACCAAUACAACGUACAGACACACCUCCCAGCAACGGGUGUGUGGACGAAAGGGGAUUACAGUGGGUUCUAACUUGGCCAGAGACUGUGCCCGGCUGGGGCCCCCUGAAGUUCACCGAGAUCGAACGCCCUGGCUGCCCGUAACUUCCCAGAACACGGAGGGAUGUGUCGCGACAGAGCGCCGAGCCCGUCACCCGCGUCCCUGCGCUCCGCCGACCCUCGUAUAGAACCCCGUGUACAGAAGAAACUUGCUUAUUCUAAGAAGUCUGAACUAGGAACAAAUCAGUUCACUGUUCUAACAAUGAACCUGAUAUUAUAAAUUACACAUUACUGGUG